rnacentral:rRNA from 1 species
AUUGAACGCUGGCGGCAGGCCUAACACAUGCAAGUCGAACGGUAGCACAGAGAGCUUGCUCUCGGGUGACGAGUGGCGGACGGGUGAGUAAUGUCUGGGAAGCUGCCCGAUGGAGGGGGAUAACUACUGGAAACGGUAGCUAAUACCGCAUAACGUCGCAAGACCAAAGUGGGGGACCUUCGGGCCUCACACCAUCGGAUGUGCCCAGAUGGGAUUAGCUAGUAGGUGGGGUAAUGGCUCACCUAGGCGACGAUCCCUAGCUGGUCUGAGAGGAUGACCAGCCACACUGGCACUGAGACACGGUCCAGACUCCUACGGGAGGCAGCAGUGGGGAAUAUUGCACAAUGGGCGCAAGCCUGAUGCAGCCAUGCCGCGUGUAUGAAGAAGGCCUUCGGGUUGUAAAGUACUUUCAGCGGGGAGGAAGGCGGUGAAGUUAAUAGCUUCACCGAUUGACGUUACCCGCAGAAGAAGCACCGGCUAACUCCGUGCCAGCCGCCGCAGUAA